AUGCAUGUACGUAUGCAAGCUUUUAUUUUUAGUAGGCACAGGCAGCACAACACCCAAUAAGUCUUCAUUUCGACCCAAGACAGACGUGCAAAGCCCAUAUGUAUUAUUGUACGUUGCUCAGCAGCUAAGAAACAUAUGGUCACGGAACGGGUCUGUCGGAGCGAUUAAAUUACUGCCACCUAAAGACAACUUACGUCAACGGCACGGAUCAUUGUCUGCAGAUUUGUUAUCUCUGCAGAUGACUUUGUGAUAAAAACUGUUCAUUUCGUCAUAUAAGUUGUCAUUUGGCUCUGAUCAGGUCCUCCUUAAAGAUGGUGGUCAUGAAAGAUUCGGACUCUGUACUGUUUGUAGUAGUGGUACUUAUCACUGUCUUCAUCUCAUGCGGCAUCUCUGAAGGAGCAGUGAUGUGGUCGACAGAACCUUGUCCACCUGGCAUAAAUCCAGGCGAGGAGUGGUUUCCUGAGGACUUAGGGUGCACAAGGUGUGCUUGCUUCAGCCUUGAAAGGCAGCCUGGGUUUUCUUGUGCCACAUGUGGUGUUGCAGCAAUGUCGCUCAGCAGACAAGAGUGUUAUGCAGACAAGACUAGCCCUGAGGAGAAUUACCCUGAGUGCUGUAGGGUGCAGGAGUUCUGUCCAGGACAUGAGCGCUACAAUGCCUCCAAGGCAGGAAUAACAGUGGUUGGUUGAAAACACCUGGUGAAACCACCACUUUGCAGCUGUUGAGUUUUGGCGGAUACGAAAAAAAAAAAGUGGCCAACUGUUACAAUAUAGAAGAAAUAAAGCUUAUCUUUCACUAAAAAUAAAAAGUAGCAGAUUUUAACCACCAGCUGUUAUACAUUUCUGGUGUAUGCUGUAUUAUCCCUUUGAGCAAGACUGUUUUCAACAGAUGAGAAGAGUGGAAUGGGGGAAAUCAUUUUAAAGUGCUUAUUUUCACUAACACUUUGAGAAUUUUUUAGGCAGACAUGUUAAAAAUAGUAGCAACUUUCACUUUAUAAUAAAUAUAGUGACUUUACUGCUUGUAGCGCCUAGAGGAGUAACCAAGAGUGGAAUACACAUGGACUUGGAUAUUUUUGGAAGCCUGCUAUAAGUUCAAUGGUCAUGAAUGAGCAUAAGUCAGUACAAAGUUUUAAACGUCCCACAUAUAGACCUCAUUGAAAGCAGUGUCAAAAAGCGCAUGAACUGGCUAUAACCUUCCCUUAGCCAGGAAUCACCACAAAGCAUUAGGUCUUAUCUUUCAAAAUGUUUCUGAUCAAGAGAUAAAACUGAAGAUACAUUAAAACAAGUUUAUAUCUGGAUUGGAGAAGACAGCAGCUGUGUUGGAGAUAUUGGAGUUUUCUACAACUACUAUGAGGGCUUGGGGCUGCUGUGGUUUUGUGGCAUUAACCACUGCCAUUCUUUGGUGGUGCGGCACCAGUAAUGGUGCUGUAUUCUGGUCAUCAGAUCCCUGUCCAGCCAAUAUAAAACCUGGAGAAAGUUGGAUUCCGAGUGGCAUGUACUGUGCAAUGUGUCUUUGUGCCAGUACUGGUACAAUGACUGGUUAUGAAUGCCAGACCUGUGGCGUGGCAGCAAUACCAUUAAGUAGUGCAGCCUGUUACAUAGAUAAUGACAAACCAGAAGCGGCCUAUCCACAAUGCUGUGACCUUAAGGAGUUCUGUCCAGGAAAUGCACGCUACAAUGCAUCCAAGGCAGGAACUGGUGGAAUUGUUGGUUGAAGGAUAAACUGAUAAUCAGCUGCUUGUCAAGAGACCAAAGAGUCAACAUUUCCACCACAAUGGUUUACUGAUUAUGCACUUAUUAUUUUUUCAUUGUUAAUAAACACAUAGUUCCACAAGUAA